GUAGGGUCCAAGCGUUAUCCGGAAUCACUGGGCGUAAAGCGUGCGUAGGUGGCGCAUUAAGUGAGAUGUUAAAUCGUGUGGCUCAACCAUAUCGAUGCAUCUCAUACUGGUGUGCUAGAGGACGGCAGAGGCAAGUGGAAUUACGAGUGUAGCAGUGAAAUGCGUAGAUAUUCGUAGGAACACCAAUGGCGAAGGCAGCUUGCUGGGCCACUCCUGACACUGAGGUACGAAAGCGUGGGGAGCGAACAGGAUUAGAUACCCUGGUAGUCCACGCCGUAAACGAUGCAUACUAGUCGUAUGGGGUAUCGACCCCCUGUGCGACGCAGCUAACGCGAUAAGUAUGCCGCCUGGGAAGUACGGCCGCAAGGCUA
rnacentral:rRNA from 1 species